rnacentral:rRNA from 1 species
ACGUAGGGUGCAGGCGUUAAUCGGAAUUACUGGGCGUAAAGCGUGCGUAGGCGGUUUGUUAAGACAGGUGUGAAAUCCCCGGGCUUAACCUGGGAACUGCGCUUGUUACUGGCAGACUGGAGUGUGGCAGAGGGGGGUGGAAUUCCAGGUGUAGCAGUGAAAUGCGUAGAUAUCUGGAGGAACACCGAUGGCGAAGGCAGCCCCCUGGGCUAACACUGACGCUGAUGCACGAAAGCGUGGGGAGCAAACAGGA